AUUGAACGCUGGCGGCAUGCCUUACACAUGCAAGUCGAACGGCAGCACGGGUGCUUGCACCUGGUGGCGAGUGGCGAACGGGUGAGUAAUACAUCGGAACAUGUCCUGUAGUGGGGGAUAGCCCGGCGAAAGCCGGAUUAAUACCGCAUACGAUCUACGGACGAAAGCGGGGGACCUUCGGGCCUCGCGCUAUAGGGUUGGCCGAUGGCUGAUUAGCUAGUUGGUGGGGUAAAGGCCUACCAAGGCGACGAUCAGUAGCUGGUCUGAGAGGACGACCAGCCGCACGAGAGCUGGAACGCGGACCAGACGACUACGAGAGGGAGCAGUGGGGAAUGUUGGACAGUAGGCGAAAGCAUGAUGCAGCGAUGCCGCGUGUGUGAAAGAGGCCUUCGGGUUGUAAAGCACUUUUGUGCGGAAAGAAAUCCUUGGCCCUAAUACGGUCGGGGGAUGACGGUACCGGAAGAAUAAGCACCGGCUAACUACGUG
rnacentral:rRNA from 1 species